AUUGGCAACCAUAAACCGCAAAAGGGUAGUAAAAACUAGAGAAACAAAGAGAGAGAAAGAUUACAGGGAAAGGAAGUUUAUCAGGCUGUGCCUUGUUUUGUUUUUGUUGGAGGUAGAGAAAAACUGAGAUGAUGGAUAUUGAUGAUCCACUUGAUUUUGAGAAAGAAGACCCAUUUCUUAUUAACCCUGUUGUUUCCAAGAAAAGGAAAAAGCUUAUUGGAUUAGAUGAUCUUUUGAGUGAACAUUACAAGGAGCAAAGCAAACAAAUUGAGAAGGACGCCAAGAAACAGACAAAAGCUCAAAAAAGCUAUGAAUCUGAUGAGGAUAAAAAUGGAAAAGAAGCUAAGCUUUCAAGUCUUCUUGACGAUUGCCAAGAACAGAUGAAAGCAAUGAGUGGGGAGGAAGAGUUGUCUGAGUGGGGCUUAUUCGUCUUUGGAGAGAAGAAGACUUCACCACCUUUAUCUUUCCCUGAGCUUGGAAGUUGGUCAAUUUUGAAGUCUUUCAUGAAUAAUAAGCUCAACUCUCUGGUGGGGCUUGCUACAGAACAAGAGUGCUCUUUCCUUGAAGGGCUAUUGAUAAAUGGGUGGCUCUUAAAAUUGAUCUUGAAAUGUGGUCGUGUAGAAAAAUCAAUAGCUACAUGGACCUUUUUUUUGAUGCUGUAUUCAUCAAAAGAAGAGUUGAGGUCAUCUGCCUGUGAAUUCUGGUGCUCCAUUCUUUCAUCAAAAGUUCAGGUUGGUGUGCCACCCAUUGAAAUUGACUGGUUCCCCAGCUAUUGUGAACUAAAGAGUGCCCUAGAGAUAUAUGGGUUUUGUUUCAAUUUUUCAUCCAACGUAUCUGUUAAAAACAGUUCUGUUUGUAAAGGGCCACCUCAAAACAUCAUAACCUGGAUCAAAUUUACAGCUGUAUGUUGUCAAGUAAGGUGUAAACAGCCUGCUUUUUUGGCAUCAGACUGUCAAGAGCUGGCAGAAGUCAUCAUUUGUCUAUUCUUAGACCGGCGACUUCAAGGUCUCUCUGUUCUUAUGAGCAACUGUCUGCAAUCAGUUAUCAGUUCAUUCACAGAAGAAGAAUGGAUUAACUGUUAUUGUGAAAUAGCGAAAUCUCUUGCCUCAAGAGUUCCUAUGGACUUGAACUGCCUGCAAGCAAUGCAAUGCAUUUCAGGAGUCGAUCCUCGUUCCAAGCAUCUCAGAAGUGCUGUUGCCUUCCAAAUUCUGGUUAAUUGUUUUGAGAAUGAGGUUCCUGAUGAAGAAGGAAUCCUGACUUUGCUUAUCUCAAUAAACGUGAAAGAAAAGGCCUGUGAUUUUUUCAAGAUGUUCCUCUAUCUGGUUUUGACUGAAAAUUGGCUUCAAUAUGAUCCAAUGUUGAGAGAUAAGCCAGUGAUUCGUGAAAUGUGGGGUCUCUUUCUUCGAAACUGUUCUUGCCAAAUUACCAGCACAGACCUGAGGUUGCAUGCAUCAAAAGUUCGUAAUAAAGCUGCAUUUCUUCUACAAGGUGCUGGCAACAAUUAAUCAAGUACGAGUUCUAAUCCAUCCACAAUAAAGAAUGUAGAGAUGUUUGAUACUGAGAGUAGCCAAAGGAAGUUAACCUGGCAUAAUUUGGGGAUUGUGGUAAAGCCAUAUUGUCUCUUUCUCUGCCUCUCUCUCCUUCUCUUAACUACAAUUGAUGCUUGGACAAGAGAUCUUGAAAUCCUUCAAACCCAUUUGCUGAUGUUAGCACCCUCUAGCAUACGUUGGCAUGCAUCAAGGCAUUGCAAAGCAGAGAAAUUUCUUUCCUCGCAGAUGGAGAAACAAGGGGCAAGGCAGAUGGGCAAAGCUGCAAAAACAAAAGCAGGUGCAGUGUUUACAGAAUCAUGCAGAUUCAAAAGCAGGAGAUUUUGAACACAUUGACAUUUUCAGAAUAUCCCAUUUCUACAUUCUGGGGUUAUUCUGGGAUCAAUCCCAUUCAGUGGAUCUAUGUAUAUCUAAGUUUAACAAUGACUGCAAGCCUUUCCUCUUUGUCACUUUGACUUGGGGGAUAUGGAGGAUGCUUGAGAUUAUGAGAUGUGUUAAGUAGUACAAUAUAUAAGUAGGUAAAUAUUUUAACCAAAUGGUCAUUCCUUAAUUAUUGCUACUGUUAUUUUUUAUUCCAAGGUCUAGCACUUCCCUUCUCUUAAGG